GGGCCCGCACAAGCGGAGGAACAUGUGGUUUAAUUCGAUGAUACGCGAGGAACCUUACCCGGGCUUGAAAUGUAUCUGAUUAACUUGGAAACAGGUUAUCUAGCAAUAGCAGAUAUGUAGGUGCUGCAUGGUUGUCGUCAGCUCGUGCCGUGAGGUGUCGGCUUAAGUGCCAUAACGAGCGCAACCCCUAUCGAUAGUUACUAACAGUUUAAGCUGAGGACUCUAUUGAGACUGCCACCGUAAGGUGUGAGGAAGGUGGGGAUGACGUCAAAUCAGCACGGCCCUUACGUCCGGGGCGACACACGUGUUACAAUGGGAGGUACAGAGGGUCGCGUACCUGGUGACAGGAUGCCAAUCUCGUAAAACCUCUCUCAGUUCGGAUCGGAGUCUGCAACUCGACUCCGUGAAGCUGGAUUCGCUAGUAAUCGCGCAUCAGCCAUGGCG
rnacentral:rRNA from 1 species